rnacentral:rRNA from 1 species
UACGUAGGGAGCAAGCGUUGUCCGGAAUCAUUGGGCGUAAAGCGCGCGUAGGUGGCUCUAUAAGUCCGUUGUGAAAGUCAAAGGCUCAACCUUUGAAAGCCGAUGGAUACUGUAGAGCUAGAGUACGGAAGAGGCGAGUGGAAUUCCUGGUGUAGCGGUGGAAUGCGCAGAUAUCAGGAGGAACACCAAUAGCGAAGGCAGCUCGCUGGGACGUUACUGACACUGAGGCGCGAAAGCGUGGGGAGCGAACAGG